GGAGGGGUGUCCGAGUGGCUUAUGGUACACGCUUGGAAAGCGUGCGUACGGUUAAUCCCGUACCGGGGGUUCGAAUCCCCCCUCCUCCGCCA
rnacentral:tRNA from 1 species